GGUUAUGGCUCAGUGGUGGAGCACUUGCCUAGAAUGUGUGAGGCACUGGGUUCAAUUCUCAGCACCA
rnacentral:tRNA from 1 species